GGUAUAGCCAAGUUGGUAAGGCAGCGGGUUUUGAUCCCGCCGUUCAUAGGUUCGAGUCCUGUUACC
rnacentral:tRNA from 1 species